ensembl:lncRNA
CACUGCUGAAAUGCACCGUGCACCACCUUACUGAGCUCACAACCACUGCUUGGACUCCAUAAACUUUCAGCAAAGAUUGAUGAAGCAUAAAAAGAAGUGCCAGUCGUUGGUCAGUUGGUCAGUCCUCUGAGUGUGAGAGUAAGCUGCUGACAGCUGCUGGAGUCAGGCCUGUGGUGCAAGCCUGCAGACUGGUGCCGGAUGCUGAAUGGAUCGUGGUCUUCCCAUCCCAGCCUCUGGGACAGGAAUGAUGAUCGUGUUGGCGACAUGUAUGCAGCAUACCCCAUGGAAGCUGAUCUGGAACGUGGCAAGGAACGCAGUGAUCUGCCUGUACGCCGCAUAUCGAGGCUGCGCCGUUUUCAUCAGCCUCAAGCCUACCGCAGGGCUGUUGCACCUAGGAUUCCUCCUUCCCUUUCUCAGAUGGAUCUUGGUUCUGAGGCUGAAGAGUAUCCCAGAGGUGCUGGCGGUGUGAGAUCUGCAGGGAGCGUGGAUCGGAAAGGGGGAGAAAAUCACCUUGCAGCUGCGGUGCUUGCCAUCCUGUUCUCUCUGGUCAUUCUGGCUGCUUUGGGUUACCUGGCCAAACAGCUGCUGAUGAAGAGACAAGCCAAUGCUAGGUGAAACUGGCAGAGACAUGAGAAACAAAGAUCCAGCUCUGCUAAAAAAACCACGGAACUUAACAAGAAUUACCAUAGAAGUUGAAGAUCUUUCAGGGAAUCCAAACCCAAAUCUGAGUGUGUUCUCUAUUCAACUUUCUCGCCGCUCGCUGCCUUACUCUGCCAGCCCCCACAGCAAUCCUCUCAGCCUGACUUCCGCAGGCAGUGAGGAAUCGAUGAUGACUCCUGCCCGGCCAAGCAAGAAGACACCAAACUGUAGUUCUCUCUUAGCAGCUUUCCCAAUUCCAUCAGUUCAUUGCAUGAUGUCCACACUGAUGGCCGACCAUGACAGCGUUCACCACCUAUUCCAUAUCAUGACAUCAUGCCCAAGUUGUACAACGCAGAUACAUGUAUCUAUGC